rnacentral:rRNA from 1 species
UACUUUGGAUUUCUUCGGAAUGACGAGGUUUGUGACUGAGUGGCGGACGGGUGAGUAACGCGUGGGUAACCUACCUCAUACAGGGGGAUAACAGUUGGAAACGGCUGCUAAUACCGCAUAAGCGCACGGAGACGCAUGUCUCCGUGUGAAAAGCCUUAACGGUGUGAGAUGGACCCGCGUCUGAUUAGCUAGUUGGCAGGGUAACGGCCUACCAAGGCGACGAUCAGUAGCCGACCUGAGAGGGUGACCGGCCACAUUGGGACUGAGACACGGUCCAAACUCC